rnacentral:rRNA from 1 species
ACUCCUACGGGAGGCAGCAGUGGGGAAUAUUGCACAAUGGGGGAAACCCUGAUGCAGCCAUGCCGCGUGUGUGAAGAAGGCCUUCGGGUUGUAAAGCACUUUCAGUAGGGAGGAAGGUAGUGUAGUUAACACCUGCAUUAUUUGACGUUACCUACAGAAGAAGCACCGGCUAACUCCGUGCCAGCAGCCGCGGUAAUACGGAGGGUGCGAGCGUUAAUCGGAAUUACUGGGCGUAAAGCGCAUGCAGGCGGCCUGUUAAGUCAGAUGUGAAAGCCCGGGGCUUAACCUCGGAAUUGCAUUUGAAACUGGCAGGCUAGAGUCUUGUAGAGGGGGGUUAGAAUUUCAGGUGUAGCGGUGAAAUGCGUAGAGAUCUGAAGGAAUACCAGUGGCGAAGGCGGCCCCCUGGACAAAGACUGACGCUCAGAUGCGAAAGCGUGGGGAGCAAACAGGAUUAGAUACCCUGGUAGGAUAGCG